AUUGAACGCUGGCGGCAUGCCUUACACAUGCAAGUCGAACGCGAAAGCGGGGGCAACCCCGCAAGUAGAGUGGCGAACGGGUGAGUAAUGCAUCGGAACGUGUCCAGUAGCGGGGGAUAACCUCUCGAAAGAGAGGCUAAUACCGCAUACGACCUACGGGUGAAAGAGGGGGAUCGCAAGACCUCUCACUAUUGGAGCGGCCGAUGUCGGAUUAGCUAGUUGGUGGGGUAAAGGCUUACCAAGGCGACGAUCCGUAGCUGGUCUGAGAGGACGACCAGCCACACUGGGACUGAGACACGGUCCAGACUCCUACGGGAGGCAGCAGUGGGGAAUUUUGGACAAUGGGGGAAACCCUGAUCCAGCCAUGCCGCGUGGGUGAAGAAGGCCUUCGGGUUGUAAAGCCCUUUCGGUGGGGAAGAAACGGUGCGUGCCAACACCACGCACUACUGACGGUACCCACAGAAGAAGCACCGGCUAACUACGUGCCAGCAGCCGCGGUA
rnacentral:rRNA from 1 species